GGUUGUAAUCGCAUAAUUAUUAACUCGGAUAAUAUGGAAGUGGUCGAGACCAUGAACGAAGGAGGACGAUCGUCGGGGGCAGCAAUUUUUGAUGACUGUUUUCACUUAGCUUGCGAUUUUUCUAUUUCUAGCUUCGAGCAUUGUAAUAGAGAAGCAAAUAAAAUUGCUCAUGAACUUGCCAAGUUGGUUAGAUUUUCCUUCAUUUCUAAUUGGCGCGAGGAACCACAUAAUGCAAUUGUACCAAUCCUCAUAAACGAUGUAAUGAUUAUUUCUAAUGAAUAA
rnacentral:rRNA from 1 species